rnacentral:rRNA from 1 species
UGGGGGAUCUUAGACAAUGGGCGCAAGUCUGAUCUAGCCAUGCCGCGUGAGCGAUGAAGGCCUUAGGGUUGUAAAGCUCUUUCAGUGGGGAAGCUGUACCCACAGAAGAAGCCCCGGCUAACUCCGUGCCAGCAGCCGCGGUAAUACGGAGGGGGCUAGCGUUGUUCGGAAUUACUGGGCGUAAAGCGCACGUAGGCGGACGGAGAAGUCAGAGGUGAAAUCCCAGGGCUCAACCUUGGAACUGCCUUUGAAACUUUCUGUCUUGAGGUCGAGAGAGGUGAGUGGAAUUCCGAGUGUAGAGGUGAGAUUCGUAGAUAUUCGGAGGAACACCAGUGGCGAAGGCGGCUCACUGGCUCGAUACUGACGCUGAGGUGCGAAAGCGUGGGGAGCAAACAGGAUUAGAUACCCGGGUAGU